UGUGAACAGAUCAGGUGGGAUUGGUGUAACUUAGGGGGCGUUUACACGACAACAAUCCAACAAAAACAGAAGUUUUGUUCCGUUUUUGUUGGAUCGUUUACACGAAAACGUUCUAAUUACGAUCUGUGUUUACACAGUAAUGGUACAAAUCGAAAACGUGUAAUGCUUGCUGCGCCUAGUUGGUGCUAGGUUCUUUGAAACUGAGUGCGCAUGUGUUUAAAAAAAAGUUCUACUUGAAGGCAUGUUGAUUCGCGUUUCCCUAUCAGGUACCGUUCUCCCAUAGAUUGGGAGAAAACACGCAUUGUGUGCGUCUGAUUAGGGUGCAUGCAGUUGGAAAAAGUGGGAUAACUUCGCUGAAACACCUUGUUUGAGCUUUCACGGUGUCCGUAGCGGGCCCCGGACUGGAAGCUGUUUAUUGUUUUUACCUUGGAAUGGCCAACAGCCUGUUAUUCCUUUAUCAAUUUGAUAAAAUAGGAGCUCCUGCCCUUCCCAUAUCCGUGUCCUCUGUCACCUUUUUCAGCAGUUAAAACAGUUUAAUAUGUUGCU